AUCGUCCUGCAAAGCCCUCCUCGUCCCCGCUCCCCACCCCCGCCCACGACCGCCGCCGCCGCCGCCGCCGCCUCUCUCCCGCCCACGGCAACGGCUCCCUCGGUGCCCUCGCCCGUCAUCGACGAGCCCGAAAAAGCGGAGCGAUCGAUAGAGGGAUUGAAGGCAAGCGAAAGAAAAUCUCCGCGAGCUACUAAACCCCUAAAACCCUCGACGUCGGAGGCGGCGGCGAGAUGAAGAACCUGCGCCUUGUGACGAGGCUCCCGCAGCAGCUACAGCUCCAUCUGGACGGGGAAACCCUCGUCGCCUCCGCGAUCGACGCCGAGCGCCGCCGCGCCUUCUUCGCCUCCUCCGCCAACUUCAUCUAUACCGUCCAGCUCCCCGCCUCCUCCACGCAGGGACAGCAACCACUACCGUGGAGUAAAAUUACUGCUCAAAACUCUGACGCGGUCGUGGAGGAGGUUGUUCUUGAGCCUGGAGAUUGCAUAGUUGCCAUGGAUUAUCUCAUGGAGAAGGAGUCUCUACUCCUUGGUUCAUCGGCUGGUUGCCUGCUCUUGUAUAAUGUGGAGGAAAAAACAACCGAAGUUGUUGGAAGACUGGAAGGUGGUGUCAACACCAUUGCCUCUAGCCCUGAUGGUGCUCUUCUUUCUGUAACCACUGGACUUGGGCAACUGCUUGUCAUCACACAGGAUUGGGAAGUGCUGUUUGAGGCUUCUCUUGAUCCUCAUGAUGCUACCAUAGGCGACAUAGACAGUACCGGUUGUCAGAUACGAAGCUCAAUUUCUUGGCGGGGGGAUGGGAAAUAUUUUGCUACACUUGGGGCCCUUGAUGGCGCUUAUGGCCCCACAAAGCUUACUAUAUGGGAACGUGAAUCAGGAAAGGUUCAUUCAUCUUCAGAUGCCAAACCUUUUAUGGGAGCAUUGUUAGAUUGGAUGCCUAGUGGAGCCAAGGUUGCCACAGCCCAUGAUCGGAGGACAGAGGGAAAAUGCCCUCUCAUUGUCUUCUAUGAAAAGAAUGGCUUAGAGAGGAGCUACUUUUCUAUUGAUGAGCCAGGAGAGGUUGCCAUUCGUGCUUUAAAAUGGAACUGCAAUUCCGAGAUCCUUGCUGCUCUAGUUUCUUCUGAACAGCAUGAUGUUAUUAAAAUAUGGUCCUGCAGGAACAAUCACUGGUACUUGAAACAUGAACUGCGGUACACAAAGGAAGAGAGGGUAAAGUUCUUUUGGGAUCCAACGAAACCAAUGCAUCUGAUUUGCUGGACACAGGGUGGCCAAGUCAUUAUUCACAGGUUUGCUUGGACUACCGCAGUCAGUGAGACUUCAGUUGCACUUGUUAUCGAUGGUUCCCAUGUUCUUGUUACUCCUCUUAAUUUGGGCCUCAUGCCAUCUCCCAUGUCUCUGUUCCACCUUGCAUUUCCUUGUGCAGUGAAUGAGGUUUCUUUUGUGUCCAGUAACUCAAAGGCCCACUUGGCUGCUUAUCUCUCAAAUGGCAGCUUGUGUGUAGUGGAGCUUCCAGCACCAGAUACUUGGGAAGAAUUUGAAGGCAACAGGAUAAAUGUUGACCCUUGCUGUUCUGACUUCACUUUGGAUAACUGUAUGCACCUUGCUUGGAUAGAUACACACACCUUGAUUGGCAUCUGUUGCUAUAGCGAACACUGCUGUUCAACACCGAUUGGGUCCAGUGAAACUAGUAACCUGGUACACAAAAAUGAUUCACUGUUUUCCAUCAAUGAGAUUGAACUUGUAUGUCCAGAGGAUUCUGUGCCAGGUUCAGUGAUUUCAUCUGGUUGGCAAGCUAGAGUAUCUAAGAAAGUGCCAUUGCAGAAUGCGGUGAUUGGAGUCUGUCCAAAUCCAGCAAAAGAAGGUUCCGCCUUCAUUCAAAUUAGUGGAGGAAAGAUUGCUGAGUACUGUUCAAGUUUAAAUCUGUUGAAAAUGUCAGCACAAUUCAGUGAGGUUGAUUCUGACAAUGGUUUUCCAGCAGCAUGUCCUUGGAUGACUGCAGUUCUGUGCCAUGAAAAUGGUAUGGCUCAACCCUUUCUCUUUGGACUUGAUGAUAACAGCAACCUUUAUAUGGGCAAAAGGUUAUUGAGCAACAACUGCAGCAGCUUCACAUUCUACUCCAGUGCUUAUGGAACCACCGAGCGGGUUAUGAGCCACUUACUAGUGGCUACUAAGAAAGAUCUUCUAUUCAUUGUGGAUGUCAAUGAGAUCUUUCUUAAAGACAAUGAGGUGACAGUUGACAGCCAUGUCAGUAGCCAUCCUCGAGGAAAGCAAAGCAAAGAGCACAUCACUGUGUGGGAAAAGGGAGCAAAGUUGGUUGGUGUUCUCCAUGGUGAUGAAGCAGCUGUUAUAAUGCAAACUACACGUGGUAACUUAGAGUGUACUUACCCUAGAAAGCUGGUCCUUGUUUCAAUUGUUCAGGCAUUGGCUCAGAGGCGUUUCAAAAAUGCAAUGGACAUGGUGAGGCGGCAUCGGAUAGACUUCAAUAUCAUUGUUGAUUAUUGUGGUUGUAAUGUUUUUAUCAAGUUAGCAGCAGAUUUUGUCAAACAAGUUAAUAACCUUAGCCACAUCACUGAAUUUGUUUGCUCAAUGAAGAACAGCAAUGCCAGCAGCAAAUUGUAUGAAGCCUAUAUAUCUUUUCCUGAUCACUGUGCGGACUCGAUGGUUGAUACUGAGUGCAACAAAGUCACUUCUGUACUGAUGGCAGUUGGAAAAGCCCUUGAGGAACAAAUGGAAGAGAGCUCAUCAAGAGAACUUUGUGUACUGACCACUUUAGCCCGUAGUGAACCUCCAUUAUUGGAGGAAGCACUAAACAGAAUAAAAGCAAUUCGAGAAUUGGAACUUCGUGGUGUCGAUGAUGCCAGGAGAAAGCUUUACCCUUCUGCUGAAGAGUCUUUGAAGCACUUGCUUUGGUUAACGGACACUGAAGCUGUUUUCGGUGCUGCUUUGGGGUUGUACGAUCUGAAUCUUGCUGCUAUCGUUGCUUUGAAUUCCCAAAAAGAUCCAAAAGAGUUCCUCCCUUUUCUCAAGAGUCUUGAAUGUCUUCCCCCUGCUGUCAUGAGAUACACGAUUGAUUUAAGGCUUGGAAGAUACGAGAGUGCCCUCAGAAACAUUGUUUCUGCUGGUAACGAGUACCACGAGGAUUGCAUGAAGCUCCUUAAUGCUAAUCCUCAGCUGUUCCCACUGGGCCUCCAUUUAUUUAAUGAAUCAGAUAAAAGGAAUGAAAUUCUUGAGGCAUGGGGCGACCAUCUUUCUGAAGAGAAAUGCUUUGGAGAUGCCGCAUUGACUUACCAGUGCUGUUCGUCAUAUCAGAAAUCAUUGAAAGCAUACCGUGCUUGUGGGGACUGGAAAGGUGUGUUUACUGUUGCAGGUCUUUUGGAGUUAGAAAAGGAAGAAAUUACUCAGCUUGCACAUGAGUUAUGUGAUGAGUUCCAAGCUCUCGGCAAGCGAGGAGAUGCUGCUAGAGUAGCACUGGAGUAUUGUUCAGAUGCCGAGAGAGGUGUAAGUUAUUAUAUCACGGCAAGAGAAUGGGAAGAGGCUCUUAGAGUUGCUUAUAUGCUUAGCAGGCAUGAUCUGGUUGGAACUGUUAGAGAUGCAGCUUUGGAUUGUGCUGCAUCACUGAUAUCUGAGUACCAGGAAGGACUCUUGAAGGUUGGUAAAUAUGUAUCACGUUAUGUGGCUGUGCGGCAGAGGAGAUUGUCCCUUGCUGCCAAACUCCAGUCAGAAGAUCGGUUUAUGGAUGUUGAAGAUGACAGCGUUUCAGAAGUGAGCACUAGCUUCAGUGAAAUGAGCGCAUAUACUACAAGUGUGGAGCGCUGAAUUCUGUAUGGACAGGUCAACCAAGGAGUCAAGUGCCUCAGUCAUAUCCAGCAGAGCCAGCAAGUCACGAGGAGCAAGGCGACAAAAAAAAGGUGGCAAGAUACGAGCUGGAAGUCCUGGGGAGGAGAUGGCCCUUGUGGAGCAUCUCAAGGGGAUGGCACUGACAGGCAGUGCCGAAAGUGAGCUGAAGAGCCUUCUCGUGGUUCUAAUACAACUGGGGAAAGAAGAAACUGCCCGUCAGGUGCAGCAGGCUGCAGAUAACUUUGAAGUGUCUCAAAGGGCUGCAGUGAAGUUGGCUGAGGAUACAGUAAGUAAUGACAAGGUAGAUGAGAACGCUCACACCCUUGAGCAUUAUAUAAGAAUGCUGAGGGCUCAUGGGUCAGGUCAUAGCGAGACUGGUUCAUGGCGAAUCAAGGCAUUGUCUCCCCCUUGAGGGUUUGUUUGUUUGGUCCCCUCCCCUUUGAGUGGGAUUAUUAGUUGCAGGGGAUUUCAAUCUAAUUGUAAAAGAGGAGCACAGUUCUGCUAUCACUGAACAUUGUGAGCAGAUCAAACACCAGUCUUCUGUUAUACAUGUUUUAAUGUCUUGUGUACCCAGCCAUUAUUGCCAUUUGCUAUUCGCAUACACCGAAUGGUUGGAGCUAUUAUGUCAAUCUCUAUUGAUGAAAUCAAGGAUAUAGAAGGCGGACAAAUUUCAUUUGCAUUAUC